AUUGAACGCUGGCGGCAGGCCUAACACAUGCAAGUCGAGCGGAUGAGUGGAGCUUGCUCCAUGAUUCAGCGGCGGACGGGUGAGUAAUGCCUAGGAAUCUGCCUGGUAGUGGGGGACAACGUUUCGAAAGGAACGCUAAUACCGCAUACGUCCUACGGGAGAAAGCAGGGGACCUUCGGGCCUUGCGCUAUCAGAUGAGCCUAGGUCGGAUUAGCUAGUAGGUGAGGUAAUGGCUCACCUAGGCGACGAUCCGUAACUGGUCUGAGAGGAUGAUCAGUCGCACUGGAACUGAGACACGGUCCAGACUCCGACGGGAGGCAGCAGUGGGGAAUAUUGGACAAUGGGCGAAAGCCUGAUCCAGCCAUGCCGCGUGUGUGAAGAAGGUCUUCGGAUUGUAAAGCACUUUAAGUUGGGAGGAAGGGCAGUAAGCUAAUACCUUGCUGUUUUGACGUUACCAACAGAAUAAGCACCGGCUAACUUCGUGCCAGCCGCCGCCGUAAAAC
rnacentral:rRNA from 1 species